UUUGUCUCUACUGCACCACAACGGGAACUCCCUGAAUUUUUAAAUAAGGUGAAUAAGUCUUCAAAUAUGGGAAACAGUCCUAAAUUGUAGUAGCAUAUCUCUGUGAGGAAGUUCUGGUUCUUCCUAUCAGUUCUACCCUCAGUUCCACUAUGGUACCUCUUCUAGAGGCUUGGUGUCAUUGUUAGGUAGCAACAUCCUGGUGAGCAGAGCUGGGAGUAGAAUUAAUCUGUCUCUAUGCUUCCAGGGAACCCACCCCCCACCGUAUAGAAUAUAUGUUCCUGUUUGCUCUGCUGCCCUCCAAUGGCCAUCUCAGGAAGAAACUAGGGGCUGAGAUGCUUGCACAAAGUACCAGGCAGUCUUAGAACCAGAAGUGGAGAACAGCCCUUGAAAAGUAUCCUGGCUCAGCUUCUCAACACUUACAAUAGAUAACUUUGAGAAGAAUCCCCAGGUUAAAGGGGUAAGCAUUGUCCCCCAGCUUGUGCAGCAGUCGCUCCUGCAAGACCGUGAGGGGCACCUGAGGGCUGGUGGGCUCAGCUGGGACCACUUGCUGGACCUGUACAUACAGAUCUUUGCGGAAUGUCAGGCCAAUCACAUCCAAGUCAUCAUGGCCAUAGCGAAAGGCACAUGUCAACAUGACAAACACUGCAGACAAAGAAGGAAGAGAGUGACCUGUCAGGCCUGAGGGGGAACGAAGGUCUUAAAUGGCUCAUACGAAGACGUGGAGAGACAAUGUAAUGUGGUCAGAACAAUGUGGCUGUAAAGAAAAGGGUUAAUACAUUUGACUCUGGUAAAAUUUAAAACUUAUUUACAUUGAGUUUGUAAAUAAUGAAACAAGGAAAAGCCUGGGAUGAAAUAUUUGCAAGACAUACAACAAACCAAGUUUAGUGUUUGUAGUAUAUAAAGGACUCCCACAAAUCAGUAAUAAAAAUAAAAACAUCCCAAUAUAAAAGUGUGCAAAGUGUAUGGAUAGGCUCAUCACAGAAGUACAAAAAGGAAUGGCCAAUAGGUAUGAAACUAUGUCCAGACUCAUUAGUAAUAAAAUAUAUGUAAUUUUUUUUGCUACACAGGCA